UCUUGAUGAUAGAGAAAUAGAAAGUGAUGAUUUGUCGAGUUCUAAGAUUUCUCAGGUUAAGUUAGGGUUGCUAAAGGGUUUGUUUCAGAAUUCCUUGAAGCCUAGGGCUAAGAAAAUGGGAGGGGAAGAGAAGAAAUCUGGGGCUAGGGGUAGAUCAAAGGCUAUUGAGAUUGGUCUUGAUUCUGAUGAUGAUGAGCCCAUUGGGUCUCUAUUCAAGUUGAAGAGACAUAGAAAUCCCAAAAAGGUUAAGGCAGUUCCAGACAAGGUUGAAGCUAGGGAAGAAAAAUUGGUGGCCGAGGAUGAUGACUCUGGGGGCAUGGAUGACACACUAGCCAGUUUUAGGAAGAGGUUGAAGGGUCCUAAGAAGGAUAUUCGAUCUGUUAGUGUGAGGCCUUUGGAGGAUAAUGCAGAUAAAGGCUGCAGUGGAGAUGAUUUACUGGGGUUAGUUGUGAAUAAAGGGGUAACUGAACCCAAAAAUAAAGAAAAGAUGAAGAAAACAAAAAUCGACUCUAAGAGAGAGAGAACUGGGAGCGAUGCUGAAGCUUAUGGGACAGAAACUUUUGGAUCUCGGGUAGAAGAUCAGAAGGACGAAGGUUAUUUGCCUAGUGAGGGUUCAAGUCAUUCUUUGGAUGAGAAGUUGGAAGACUCAUUAUCAACUAUUUUUCAUAAGAUGCAAUCUGGUUCAAUACAGAAGUCUUACAUGAAUUCAUGUUCAAAACAAAAAAGCAAGGUUCAGAAUGUGGAGGGUGCAUUGAACCGGUCAUCUGAAUGUAUUUCAGAGUUCUCCAAGCCCAUGGCUGCAACGAUACCUAGAACCGCUUCCACCUCAAACUUACUCUGCAUAGAUCUGAAAGCAGAAGAUGGUUGCAUUGUAGUUACUCAUUUGAGUCCAUCAGAUUUUGUCUCUGAACAGAGUAAGACAAUGAAACAAAACAGACUUGAUAAUGGUUUUUGUCAAUCUUCUAAUUGUAUAAAAGGGAGUUCUGAUGAAAAUACGGAGUCCAGUUGCAAAAGACAUGCUAGGUCUGUAGAAAUUAAUGCCCCACCUUCAGUAUUUCACUGUAGUGGGGAUCAAGAUAAUAUAAUGCCAGAUCCUGGUCUCUCAAAUGUUAAAGCAGAACUUAUGGUGGAUCCUUGUACUUUAAAUAGACUUCAUGAUGAAAAUUGUUCAAUUUAUGGUCAAGUGGUUAGCUUGGACACUCAGUCUUUGAAAAAUGGUUUAAAGCUUUGUUCUAUUGGAAAGGCAAACACUUUGGUCUAUGAUGUUGUGAAAGUGCCUACUCGUGCUGUAUCAGUGCAGUUUGAAGCCAUUGAUCGGUUCAGUGAGCACAAGUCCAACAAAGAUUUAAGAGAUUCAUGGAAUCGACAAUCUAAGGAUGUUUCACCUGUAUGCAUUUCAAAUGGAGAAAACCACAUUUUGUUUCAAACAGAAAUAUCACCACCUUCUGUGGUUGAUGAGAUAUCACACAAGUCAUGUCGAAGUUCAUCUAACAGGAUUCAUGAGCCAGAUUAUGAAGGAAUUUUUUAUGGUUCCUUGAGAAUUGUUUCUAACUCUUCUCCAAAUCAUGUGGGGAUGGAUAUAGCUGAUAAAACUGACACUGGACUUGAUUUUGAUCAGCGCCCAAAAGCUUCCUUGCAUGCUAAACCUCACUUGAUUGACUCUAUUAUUUCUUCAUCAAAGAUUGAAGAAACUUUCAGCGAGUGCGAUGGUCCGAAUGGUUAUGGUGAGAAGUCAUAUUCUGAUUUAGUUGCUUCCAAAAGGGCAAAUGUUGCAACAUCUGAUGGCAAGUUACCGUCAAUCACUGCAGUGUCUGGUGAAGUACAGAAAACUGCAUGUAGUUUCCAGAUGAAUGACCAAGCAAACUCAGAAUGUCUCGCUCAUCCAAAUCAAUCCUCCAUCUCCAUUCAAAAGCACAGCCCUAUUUUGCAUCUAAUUAUACCUUCAGAGGAUGCCACGAAAGGGAACUGUAUUCCCAAUCAUGAUUAUCUUUCCAUCAAUGAGGAGACUAGUGGAGCCUCUUCUCUGUCUAUAACUCCAGAGGAAAAUGAAAGUUAUCCAGAAGACGCAGCAUCCAUUCUUGACUCUGAGGUCAAAGAUAGGAAGUUAUCAUCUGUUCAGCGUGGUGCACGGAAGGCCAAAAUGCAUAGACUUGGGGACAUGGCUUAUGAAGGGGAUCCUGAUUGGGAAAUCUUGAUAAAUGAUCGACGUUAUCAGGAGACUGACCAGUUUGUGGAUGGUGAUAGAUCUUUUAGAAUGAGAGAGAAAUCUGAUUCCUCUUCAGUUAGUGUUACAGAGGCUGAAAGUGGUGCUGCAGCAGCAGUUUUAGUUGGAUUGAAAGCCCAUGCUGCUGGUCCAGUUGAGAAGAUAAAAUUUAAGGAGGUCUUAAAACACAAAGGUGGGCUUCAAGAAUAUUUGGAAUGCAGGAAUCAGAUCUUAGGUAUCUGGAGUAAAGAUGUCAGCUGUAUUUUGCCUCUUGAUGACUGUGGUGUCCCAGACACUCCAUCUGAGGAGGAAUCAUCUCGCGAUUCUCUAAUUAGGGAAAUCUAUGCAUUUCUCGAUCAGAGUGGCUAUAUAAAUAUUGGAAUUGCUUCCAAGAAGGAGAAGAAAGCAGAACCUAGGGUGAAGCAUAAUUAUAGAUUUGUUGAAAAAAAUUUUGAGGUAAAUCCUGGGACUUCAGUUGCAGAUUUGGAGGAUGGUGUCUCUUAUAUCCUUGGUCAAUUUAAAAAUUCUGAAACUUCCUUGGAGGCAAAUAAUAGAUGUACAAAUGAUAAUGAAAACCCUAUGUCAAAAGCUGAAAAAAGUUGGGAGCUUGUUCCUCAAGCCAAUGUGGAAGUAUCCAACUUAACAGAAUUUCGAGAACACCCAGUUGGUGAUAUUCAGCAAAAUGGUACAACCAAUACGAAAUUAGCCAAUGGAUUUGCCAACUUGGAUGAUGUGAGUUGUGAUCCAUUUUGUGCGAUGCUGGACAGCAGGAUUGGUAUCACAAAUCCAGAGCUAAGGAAUGACUUGCAGAGUGUUCACUCUUCCUCCUGUCAUGAUACUGGGAGAAGCCAUAAUUUUCAGGGUGAUUCUGAAGACAGAAAGAAAAUCAUUGUAGUAGGAGCUGGUCCUGCUGGCUUAACUGCUGCUCGCCACUUGCAACGUCAGGGUUUUUCUGUGACUUUGCUUGAGGCUAGGAAUAGGAUAGGGGGCCGUGUUUAUACAGAUCACUCAUCUCUUUCAGUUCCUGUAGAUCUUGGAGCUAGCAUUAUCACUGGUGUUGAGGCUGAUGUAGCUACUGAAAGAAGACCGGACCCUUCCUCAUUGAUUUGUGCCCAGUUAGGCCUUAAGUUGACAGUCCUGAAUAGUGAUUGCCCUCUUUAUGAUAUUGUGACCAGAGAAAAAGUUCCAACCGAUCUGGAUGAAGCAUUGGAAGCAGAGUACAACAGCCUUCUUGAUGACAUGGUAUUACUUAUUGCACAGAAGGGGGAACAUGCAAUGAAAAUGUCUCUUGAGGAUGGUUUAGAAUAUGCCCUUAGGAGUCGACGUAUGGCCCAACCAGGAACAAUUACUGAUGAAACUGAAUUGCAAAAAGCAAUGGACAAUUUAUAUGUUUCAAAAACUUGUAGUUUUGAUGGUGGAGUUCCUGAAAAAAGUUGUUCUAGAGAGGAUAUUUUGAGUCCGCUUGAGAGGAGAGUCAUGGAUUGGCAUUUUGCCCAUUUGGAGUAUGGUUGUGCUGCUUUAUUGAAGGAAGUAUCUCUUCCCUACUGGAAUCAAGAUGACGUAUAUGGUGGAUUUGGAGGAGCUCAUUGUAUGAUUAAAGAGGGUUACAGUAAUGUUGUUGAGUCUCUUAGCAAAGGGCUAUGCAUUCAGUUGAACCAUGUGGUCACUGAUAUUUCUUAUAGCACAAAGGAAAUUAGAUUAAACGAAAAUCAUCAUCACAAAGUUAAAGUUUCUGCAUCAAAUGGUAGUGAGUUUUUUGGAGAUGCUGUUUUGAUCACAGUGCCACUUGGGUGUUUGAAAGCAGAAACCAUAAACUUUAACCCUCCAUUGCCCCAAUGUAAACUCUCUUCCAUCCAGCGACUUGGUUUUGGAGUUCUUAAUAAAGUAGUAUUGGAAUUUCCAGAGGUAUUUUGGGAUGAUUCUGUGGAUUACUUUGGAGCUACUGCUGAGGAGACUGAUCAGAGGGGCCAUUGCUUUAUGUUCUGGAAUGUCAGGAAAACUGUUGGAGCUCCUGUUCUUAUAGCGUUAGUGGUUGGUAAAGCAGCUGUAGAUGGGCAAAAUAUGAGCUCAUCAGAUCAUGUAAGCCAUGCAUUAAUGGUUCUUCGUAAGCUUUUUGGGGAGAUUGGAGUACCUGAUCCAGUUGCAUCAGUAGUGACUGAUUGGGGUAGGGAUCCAUUCAGCUAUGGUGCUUACUCCUAUGUUGCAAUUGGAUCAUCUGGGGAAGACUAUGAUAUAUUGGGCAGGCCUGUUGAGAACUGUUUAUUUUUUGCUGGUGAAGCUACCUGCAAGGAGCAUCCUGACACUGUUGGUGGUGCUAUGAUGAGUGGGCUUCGGAAGGCAGUGCGAAUAAUUGACAUUCUAAAUACUGGAAAUGAUUUUACUGCAGAAGUAGAGGCAAUGGAAGCUGCUCAGAGACACUCAGAAUGUGAAAGGGAUGAAGUUAGGGACAUAACAAAGAGACUUGAGGCAGUUGAGCUUUCAAAUGUCCUGUACAAGAAUUCUUUGGAUGGAGCCCAAAUUUUAACCAGGGAAGCAUUGUUACGAGAUAUGUUCUUUAGUGCAAAAACUACUGCAGGACGAUUGCAUCUGGCCAAGAAGUUGUUGAAUCUUCCUGUUGAGACCUUGAAGUCCUUUGCUGGAACCAGAAAAGGGCUUACCACACUUAAUUCAUGGAUUCUGGAUUCAAUGGGGAAGGAUGGAACUCAACUCUUGCGUCACUGUGCUCGUCUUCUUGUGCUUGUUUCAACUGAUUUACUUGCAGUGCGUUUGUCAGGCAUAGGAAAAACUGUGAAAGAAAAAGUUUGUGUGCAUACUAGCCGUGACAUACGUGCCAUAGCAAGUCAGUUGGUUAGCGUGUGGCUUGAAGUCUUCCGCAGAGAAAAAGCUACAAAUGGUGGGCUAAAACUGUUGAGGCAAGCAACUGCAGUUGAUUCUUUAAAGAGAAAAUCUGUGAACAAUCUAGCCUCAGGGAAGCCGCCCCUGCGCACUCAUCAUGGUGGUUUGGAGACAGGAGGUAGCUUAGAAGUUCCCCAAUCCAGUGGAAGCCAUUUACCUUCGAAUGCAAAUAUGAAGAAAGUGAAUGGAAAACUGGUCAAGGUAGAAACCUUAAAGGAAUCAUCAUCCCGUGCUUCCCUAGGCAGACAGGACGCUGACGUACAGGAGGAAAGCAACUAUGCUAUGUCUGAAGAAGAACUGGCUUCCUUAGCUGCAGCUGAGGCAGCCCAUGCUGCUGCUUGUGCAGCUGCUGAGGCAUAUGCAUCAACAGAAGCCAAGUGCAACACAGUUUUGCAGCUCCCAAAGAUACCCUCAUUUCACAAAUUUGCAAGGCGGGAACAGUAUGCACAAAUGGAGGAUGUUGAUCUUAGAAAAAGGUGGGCUGCUGGUAUCCAGGGAAGACAAGAUUGUAUUUCAGAAAUAGACUCGAGGAACUGUAGGGUCAGAGACUGGUCUGUUGAUUUCUCUGCGACUUGUGUUAACCUUAGUAGUUCAAGGAUAUCAGUUGAUAACUUAUCUCAGCGGAGCCAUUCAAAUGAGAUUGCAUGUCAUAUGAACUUCAGAGAGCUGUCUGGAGAAAGUGCAGCUGCAGACAGCAGUCUUUUUACUAGAGCAUGGGUUGAUACUGCUGGUAACGAGGGGAUAAAGGACUAUCAUGCCAUUGAGAGAUGGCAAUCUCAAGCAGCUGCUGCUGAUUCUGAACUUUUCUGCCCAGAUAUGCAUAUAAAGGACAAAGAGGAUUCAAACACAAGUUCAAAACCACUGACCUGGAAGAAUGAUGGCCGAGCAAAUGAGAGCUCAAUAUCACAGGUUACGUCAAACAAGGAACCACGAAAAGGUAAUCUCGGAGGUGCAGAUCGUCUUAAGCAGGCUGUUGUAGAUUUUGUUGCAUCACUGCUGAUGCCUGUUUAUAAGGCAAGGAAAAUUGAUAGAGAAGGAUACAAAUCAAUAAUGAAGAAAACUGCAACCAAGGUCAUGGAACAGGCUACUGACAGAGAAAAACAAAUGGCUGUUUCUGAGUUUCUUGAUUUCAAACGCAAGAAUAAGAUUCGUGCAUUUGUGGAUAAAUUGAUUGAGAGGCACAUGGCAAUGAAGCCAGCUGUGAAGUCUUGACCAUCUUCAAGAUUGACUAGCUUGUUUCAUGGGUGACCUCAAAAGCAAUUGUGGAAAUGUGUUACUUUUUAUUCGGCUUAAAUCCACGUCACGAUCUUCAAGAUUAACUAGCUCAAUCUUCAAGAUUAACUAGCUCAAUCUUCAAGAUUGACUAGCUUGUUUCAUGGGUGACCUCAAAAGCAAUUGUGGAAAUGUGUUACUUUUUAUUCGGCUUAAAUCCACAGCACGAUCUUCAAGAUUAACUAGCUUGUUUCAUGGGUGCACUUCAAAAGCAAUUGUGGAAAUGUGUUACUUUUUAUUUGGCUUAAAUCCACAGCAUAAGAUGGUGCCAUGGUGGUGGCUGUAUUUCCUUGAUUGGGUUCACCAUGUAAAUGCUCAAUUCAAACUGCCAAUAUGCUGUAAAUGAUCCAGAAUGCCAAGGAAGACAGAGAUGAUUUCUUAUAGCCUUGAUGGAUCAUUGAGGGGCCUCUAGUGAAGAUCACUUUGUUUGGCCUGUUGAAGCAAUUAUGUGGCACUCUUGAAAAUAUGAUCUGAGUUGUCAAAGGAGCACAAGAAAAGGGUUGUAGCUCCACUUGUCCAUAUUGUGAGCAUUAACAUAUUGUGAAGCAGAUGAGCAAUCAAUUCAUCGUCCAUCAGCAUUGUAUUUGAAGGUCGGAAAAAUAUUGUAGGUGACAUUUCAAUGAGCUGGUUAACUUUUAUCAAUAUCAAGGGAUUGGAGACGAGCUUAGUCUUUAUCGGUCUCAUUCCUGGAAGUGAGUUCCGCUCCUCACAGUGAGUUCAGAUGACUUUUGCUUUAUUCAGUGAUGAAGGAAACCAUGCUUCCCGUUUAUUAGUUGGGGGAACAUCAACAUGGCUUUCAGCACUUCUUGUUUGCGGAUGCUGAUUGUGGUCUUCUAAUCUCGUUUGCCUUUAAUCGUCUGGCAGUGUCUAAUGAAAUCUGAUAUUGAGAUGGAAAAAGAGAAUGUCAACUUCUACUUGAUGUGAUUAUCAAGCGGUGGCAUGGCAUGGCAUGCUAUGCCAAAAUACCAUUGUUGCUUCAUGGCAUGGAUGCUAAAUGCAAAGUUGGUUCUCAUAUCAUGAGCUCCAGAGUUUUCCUUUUUAAACUGGUGAUAAUGUUAGGACAGCUAGAGUAAGGUAUGGACUCUGAUAUGUUCUUUGAAACAAUGUAAUUAUAGUAAAACUUUGAUAGUUCGGCUCUUUAUUUUGUCC